GACAGAGGGUGCAAACGUUGCUCGGAAUCACUGGGCGUAAAGGGCGUGUAGGCGGGAAUGUAAGUCGGGCGUGAAAGCCCCAGGCUCAACCUGGGAACUGCACUCGAAACUGCGUUUCUUGAGUAUCGGAGAGGAAAGCGGAAUACCUGGUGUAGAGGUGAAAUUCGUAGAUAUCAGGUGGAACACCAGUGGCGAAGGCGGCUUUCUGGACGAUUACUGACGCUGAGGCGCGAAAGCCAGGGGAGCAAACGGG
rnacentral:rRNA from 1 species